rnacentral:tRNA from 2 species
GGGCGAUUGGCUCAGGGGUAGAGCACUUCCUUCACACGGAAGGGGUCGCUGGUUCGAAUCCAACAUCGCCCACCA